AGGAUGGAGUUGUGUGGAAGACUAGUGAUUUUGUUGUUCUGUUUUGUUUAACAAGGAAUCACUAAUCAUCCCACAAAGCUGUCUG
rnacentral:pre_miRNA from 14 species